rnacentral:piRNA from 2 species
UCACCUGUAAUUGCCUCUUUAGGGCUCCCCC